GUAUAUCCAAGAGAUAUAUUAUAUAUAUGCAUUUUGGACUGAUAGCAUGGACAAGGAAUGACGUGUUGAACAUGAGGCUUAGAUUAUUGGCAGAAUCAAAGGGCUUUCGACUGGAUGAUACAGGAUUGUUUCCUGCUUUUCAAAGUUCUCAUGGGAAACGGGGUAUGAAAGGGGCUAGCUUGAAGCCUUGAAGUUUGACACUAAAAAGGAAGUCUUUGAUUUCCUUGGAUUUCCCUGCCUUGUGAACCCCACGAGAGGAACUUGUGAGAUUUCAUGUAAGUAAUUUUGCAUUUUGCUACGAAAAUGAUUUUUGUAUUUCACAACGUAAGUAAACACUGAACUCCACAGCUACAAAUUAUGACAUGGGCUCUAUCACUUAUAUAGACCUUACGUUAGUACCUUUCUGAAGUGCAUGAUCCACGACUCCACCUGUCGCUUAGAAC